AAGGGAAAAAAAAGUACUUUAUUUAUUGGCUUUACUUUUGGGGUUCAUUAUAGAAAAACCCCGGGUAAAAUCGGCCCGCAGCCGCGUAAUAUGUAGGGGCGAGGGUUUCAUGAAAUAUUUGGGGGGAAAAAGGGCGCGGGGGUCUUUUUUAUUUGAGGAUGAAAAACCCCCGGGUCUACACUGGGGGGUCAUUUAAAAAGGGGAGUGAGUGCAGAAGAGAAAAGGGGAAUUUCUAGGGUGGCGGGGAAAAGUGUAGAGAUUUGGAGGAACACCACGGGGGGAAGGGGACUUUCCGGUGUGUAAUGACGACUGAGGCGAUGAAAGAGUGGGGGGGAAAAAACGAUUAGAUACCCCGGUGGUCCACGCCGUAAAAGAUGAGUGCUAAGUGUUAGGGGGUCCCGCCCCUUAGUUUUGCAGGUAAAGCAUUUAACUCUCCGCCUGGGGAGUACGGUUGCAAGGAUUAAAAUUAAAGGAAUUGGAGGGGGCCCGCCCCAGCGGUGGGGCCUGUGGUUUAAUUUGAAGCAAAGGGAAGAACCUUACCAUGUUUUGAACUUCCGUUGACCUUUCCAGAGAUGUAGUUUCCCCUUCGGGAACUACGGGACCGGUUGGGCCAGGGUGUUGUUCAGUUGGGGUGUUGAGAUGUGGGGUUAGUUCCGGAAAGGGGGGCACCCUUAUCUUUUUGUGCCCGCCAUUUAGGUGGGCACUCCAGGGUGACUGCCGGUGACAAACCGGAGGAAGGUGGGGAUGACGUCAAGUCAUCAUGCCCCUUAUGACUUGGGCUACACACGUGCUACAAUGGAGGAUACAAAGGGCUGCCAACUUGCGAGAGGGAGCGAAUCCCAAAAAGUGGUUCUCAGUCCGGAUUGGAGUCUGCAACUCGACUACAUGAAGUCGGAAUCGCUAGUAAUCGCGGAUCAGCAUGCCGCGGUGAAUACGUUCCCGGGCCUUGUACACACCGCCCGUCACACCCCGGGAGUUGGUAACUAACUGAAGUCCGGUGAAGUAA
rnacentral:rRNA from 1 species